UUUCAUCGGUCUCUUCCCAAAAAAAAAAAACACAAACUCCAAGUCUUCGAGAGAAGACUCAAGACAACUUACAAGUCUCUUCCGUACAUAGCCAUGUCUCUACUAUGUAAGAAACCGAAAUCUGGUCGACUCUCGAGAUUCAUGUCGGAGUUUCACCAAUCUCCAAAACGCGGUGGGAUCAUGGUCGUUGAAACUGGCUUUAAUUCCAACUUCUCUGAUCGAUCUCUUCUUCAAGAAUCGCGAUCGUCUAAAGAAGUAUUCCUCUAAAACGAAACGCAUCCAACGCUUGACUGUGUAAGACAGAUCAUGCAGACAUGAGUGGUGUAAUUGUAACGGCCGGCUUACAUAAAAGUUGGGCUCUUUCUGUAGUUACACAAGGCCCAUUAUUUUCAAUAUAACAAAACAAAUAUUUUAAUGAUUUUUUUUUAUGAUCCUAGUAUCCGGAGCCUCGAAAAGAUCCGAUUAGCGCCAAUGACCGUCCACCGAAGCUUAGCCGGAGAGCCCGCCGAAGCAUCCAAGAGGGCUAGUGAUCAUCCCAUAUAAAUCCCACCAAUGGCCACAAAUAUUUUAAUGAUUAAAGGACCUAUUACAUUUUCAAAAUUCUUAAACCUAAUUUAUUCAAGUUGUUAUCUACUUUUUGAGCAAAUUUUCUUAAAAUUUUAAGCAGCUUUUUAAAUCUAGGGGUUUAAAUUUACUGCUUAAGAUAUAUUACUAGAUCUUCGCCCUUUAUUUUCACUUUUAUAUGCAUAUAUAUUUAUUUUAGA
rnacentral:lncRNA from 1 species